rnacentral:lncRNA from 1 species
UGCUACAGCGUCGCUGGUCAACCGCCUUCACAGAGCGGAAUGGCUCCUGAGUUUUUUUUUCUUCACCGCAGAUUGGUU